rnacentral:rRNA from 1 species
GUGGGGAAUUUUGGACAAUGGGCGAAAGCCUGAUCCAGCCAUGCCGCGUGCAGGAUGAAGGCCUUCGGGUUGUAAACUGCUUUUGUACGGAACGAAAAGACUCCUUCUAAUAAAGGGGGUCCAUGACGGUACCGUAAGAAUAAGCACCGGCUAACUACGUGCCAGCAGCCGCGGUAAUACGUAGGGUGCAAGCGUUAAUCGGAAUUACUGGGCGUAAAGCGUGCGCAGGCGGUUAUAUAAGACAGGUGUGAAAGCCCAGGGCUCAACCUGGGAAAUGCAUUUGUGACUGUAUAGCUAGAGUACGGUAGAGGGGAAUGGAAUUCCGCGUGUAGCAGUGAAAUGCGUAGAUAUGCGGAGGAACACCGAUGGCGAAGGCAAUCCCCUGGACCUGUACUGACGCUCAUGCACGAAAGCGUGGGGAGCAAACAGGAUUAGAAACCCGAGUAGUCC